CCCUUAGAUGUCCUGGGCCGCACGCGUGCUACACUGACACUUACACCGAGUUUUUCCAAUGCCGAAAGGCCAUUGGUAAUCAGCAAUAAGUGUCGUGAUGGGGAUAGAUCUUUGGAAUUAUUGAUCUUGAACGAGGAAUGCCUAGUAAUCGUAGGUCAUCAGCCUGCGAUGAUUACGUCCCUGCCCUUUGUACACACCGCCCGUCGCUCCUACCGAUUUCGAGUGGUUCGGUGAACCUUUCGGACCGGCAAUGCCUCGUGUUGCGCCGGAAAGUCAAGUAAACCAUNUNACUUACNGGAAGGAGAANUCGUANCA
rnacentral:rRNA from 1 species